UACGUAGGGGGCAAGCGUUGUCCGGAAUUAUUGGGCGUAAAGAGCGUGUAGGCGGUCCGGUAAGUCAGCUGUGAAAGUCAAGGGCUCAACCCUUGAAUGCCGGUUGAUACUGUCGGGCUAGAGUCCGGAAGAGGCGAGUGGAAUUCCCGGUGUAGCGGUGAAAUGCGCAGAUAUCGGGAGGAACACCAUGAUAGGCGAAGGCAGCUUGGCGU
rnacentral:rRNA from 1 species